rnacentral:rRNA from 1 species
GAUGCCAGCUAGCGAUCCGCCAAAGUUCCUCCGAUGACUUGGUGGGCAGCUUCCGGGAAACCAAAGCAUUUGGGUUCCGGGGGAAGUAUGGUUGCAAAGCUGAAACUUAAAGGAAUUGACGGAAGGGCACCACCAGGAGUGGAGCCUGCGGCUUAAUUUGACUCAACACGGGAAACCUCACCAGGCCCGGACACCGGAAGGAUUGACAGAUUGAGAGCUCUUUCUUGAUUCGGUGGGUGGUGGUGCAUGGCCGUUCUUAGUUGGUGGAGCGAUUUGUCUGGUUAAUUCCGAUAACGAACGAGACUCUAGCCUACUAAAUAGACGUACUUUAUUACCGGCAUCUCAAGGCCCAUCGGCUGUAUUGUUACUGAAUGUUAUUUGUAUAUUUUGUUGAUAUAUAUUUAUAAUAUGUAUGAUUGAUAAUAUAUAUUUUUUUAUAAUUCAUAUUUUUUUUUCAAAAUUAAUUGGUUAUUUUUUAUAUAUGUAAUUAUUUAAUCUGCAUUAAUGAUAUACUUAAAACAUGAUACAUUAACUAAAGUGACAACAGUUUUUU